GGUUGAUCCUGCCAGUAGCAUAUGCUUGUCCUAAAGACUAAGCCAUGUAUGUACAAGUAUAAAAGUAUUCUAUACUUGAAACUGCGGACGGCUCAUUACAUCAGCAAUUGUUUCUUUGAUGGUACCUUUACUACAUGGAUACCUGUAGUAAUUCUAGAGCUAAUACAUGAGCAAAGACCCGACUCGUGAGGGGAGGGUUAUCAUUAUUAGAUUAAAAACCAAUGCGCAGCAAUGCGGUAUUGUGGUGAUUCAUAAUAACUGUUUAGAUCGCAUGACUUUACGUCGGCGACAGU
rnacentral:rRNA from 1 species